rnacentral:rRNA from 1 species
UACAGAGGUCUCAAGCGUUGUUCGGAUUCAUUGGGCGUAAAGGGUGCGUAGGCGGCGCGGUAAGUCGGGUGUGAAAUCUCGGGGCUUAACUCCGAAACUGCAUUCGAUACUGCCGUGCUUGAGGACUGGAGAGGAGACUGGAAUUUACGGUGUAGCGGUGAAAUGCGUAGAUAUCGGGAGGAACACCUGUGGCGAAAGCGGCGCACUGGACCAUAAACUGACGCUGGAGGCGCGAAAGCUAGGGGGAGCAAACAGG